rnacentral:lncRNA from 1 species
GGAGGGAGGGGGAGAGAGAGACAGAGAGAGACAGAGAGACAGAGACAGAGAGAGACAGACAGACAGAGAGAGAGAGAGAGAGAGAGAGAGAGAGAGAGAGAGAAUGAAUAGGGGGCCACAGAGACCAGGUAGAUUACCAUUCCAUUUUGCAAAUGGCAAGAUGGAGUCCCUCUCCUGUAAGCAUCUUAUGUGUACACACCUGUUACCUUUCCUGUCCUGACUGACACAUAUCUUUCCAAGCCAACACUGUAGUUUUCUGCCUUGGACCUGCCUGUCUUCCUACAUUCUCCCGAGCAUGUCCUUGAGUCGGGAGGACCACAGGCUCCCCACUGCCCUCUUGCCCUUGCUCUUCCUGCUGCCUCUGGCCAGCUCUAGCGUGGACACUGGUUAGGGCAGAAAGGUCAGGAGAAGCCAAACCCUGGGGCACACAAGCCAGGCAUUUAGGGUUUCAGUCUAUAUCUACCAAGCGUGGGAAGCAGAGCCUGUAUAUAGCCUUACCGGUGCUGAUGCCCGUCUGUGCAAAGUUAAUUUUGAUUCUUCUAUGGCAGGGGGUGGGGAUCUGUCUCUUAAGCCAAGUGAUGCCUCUUACAGUCAAAGCUUGCCGGGUGGUGGGGUAGAGAUUUGCUAUUCUCUAUCCUCAGCUGCCCCGUGGGACCCUAGACAUUCCAGAAAAGAAGGGAAGGGAGAGGGCUCCCCAAGAAUGUCCAGCUGAUAGGGGGCCCUGGCAACCCCUGACUUCCUUUCCUUUCUCCCUCCCCCUCUUCACCGGAAGUGUCUGGAUCCUUUGAGAUCCGGGUACUUAUCGUCGCAGGAGGCAAACACAGGGUUGGCUCUGCUGCAGCCAAGGUGAUGAAGACACAGGGCCCACGCAGAAAAGCGGGAGGUGCCGAAGGAGGAGGACACUUGAGGGAUAAGCAGGACGAUGGUGCCUCUCCAUACAUCAAAGGUGGCCAGGGAUUCAGGCCUUGGCUGCCCCUACUCAGUCUGCCCGGGCAUCUAGAGCAUUCAGACUGCUGCAUAAGGCCCUGGAAGUUUGGGUGACAGUGAUGUGUGGUGUUGAUGGUGCAGAAGGGAGAAGCAGGCUCACAUAUCUGAGGGAAGACGGUUUGAAUCUAUUUCUCUUACUGGUCAACCGACUCUCCAAUCUCUUCCUGUUUCUAAUUUCAAAACACAUCACAAGCAUCAUAAAAGCCCUAUCUGUCUGAAGUGCACCCAGGCUGUCUGUCUCCUCCAGACAAGGAUACUGUAAGCCUAAGAGGAGAGUGAGCUGCCUGGCUGGCUGCCCAGGUCAAGGCGGAAUCCAGCCCCAGAGGGUAGUGAGGAGGGUCCAAUGUGGCUGGGGAGGACUGAUGGUCCCCUCGCCAAGCCAGGCCUGCUGAGCCGUGAGGAGCCAGGCAGCAGGCUGUGUGCCUUCUUGCCUUUCCAGAUGGUUCUGCCGUCACCCAGAUAGCGUCUUAUAA